UACGGCCAUAUCCCGUUGUAGCUUUUUGUUCCCGUAAGAUCACCGAAGUUAAGCAACAUCGAGCCUGGUCAGUACCUAGACGGGUGACUUAUUGGGAAUACUAGG